rnacentral:tRNA from 1 species
AAGGGUAUAGCUCAGUGGUACAGUGCUUGUUUAGCAUGCAUGAGGUCCUGGGUUCAAUCCUCAAUACCUCCA